UGGUUGGGAAUGGAUCAAAAUGCUCGGCGACGGAUGUCUAGGGAGAGAACUGAUGUGAUUCUGAAAGUAGUUGUGAAGCAUUUCUUUAUAGAGAAGGAAGUCACAUCUACUUUGGUAAUGGAUUCCUUGUAUAGUGGAUUGAAGGCUCUUGAAGGCCAAACUAAGAACAAGAAAGGGAGGGCGAAAUUGAUGGACACUGAAGAAAUGCUAGCUCCAAUUGUUCGUGUGGAGAAAGAAAUGUUCGUAUUGGUGGAUGAUGUCCUGCUACUACUUGAGAGAGCUGCCAUGGAACCACUGCCUCCAAAAGAUGAAAAGGGCCCACAGAAUCGUACAAAGGAUGGAAAUUCUGGUGAGGACUU
rnacentral:misc_RNA from 1 species